AUUGAACGCUGGCGGCAGGCCUAACACAUGCAAGUCGAACGAGUGGCGGACGGGUGAGUAAUGUCUGGGAAACUGCCUGAUGGAGGGGGAUAACUACUGGAAACGGUAGCUAAUACCGCAUACCAUCGGAUGUGCCCAGAGGGGAUUAGCUAGUAGGUGGGGUAAAGGCUCACCUAGGCGACGAUACCUAGCAGGUUUGAGAGGAGGACCAGCCACUGUGGAUCUGAGACACGGUCCGUAAUCCGACGUGAGCACGACGUGGGGAGUAUUGCACAAUUGGCGCAAGCCUGAUGCAGCCCUGCCGGGUUUAUGAGGACGGCCUUCGGUUUGUAAAGUACUUUCAGCGGGGAGACGUUACCCGCAGAAGAAGCACCGGCUAACUCCGUGCCAGCAGCCGCGGUAAUAC
rnacentral:rRNA from 1 species